GAUGAACGCUAGCUACAGGCUUCACACAUGCAAGCAGCGCGGGCGGCGGACGGGUGAGUAAUGUCUGGGAAACUGCCUGAUGGAGGGGGAUAACUACUGGAAACGGUAGCUAAUACCGCAUACAAUCAGAUGUGCCCAGAUGGGAUUAGCAAGUAGGUGGGGUAACUGCUAACCAGGGCGACGAUCCCAAGCUGGUCUGAGAGGAUGACCAACCACACGGGAACUGAGACGCGGUCCAGACUCCGAAGGGAGGCAGCAGUGGGGAAUAUUGCACAACGGGCGCGAGCCUGAUGCAGCCAUGCCGCGUGUGUUAAGAAGGCCUUCGGGUUUUAAAGCACUUUCAGCGGGGAGGCGUUGCCCGCAGAAGAAGCACAGGCUAACUCCGUGCCAGCAGCCGCGGUAAUAC
rnacentral:rRNA from 1 species